CCUUUCAAAGCCUUGGUUACAUUGCCAUCUGAGAAAGUAUUAUUAGGGAUAAAGGUGCAACAGAAAAUUCCAAACAUUUUGCAAACACCUCUUCUCUCAACUAAUAAUAUAUCUAAGGCCAUGCCAUCAGUGUAGUUGGUCUCAGUUGUUCAGCAAAGCCUCUCACAGCAUCUCUAGUAUAAUUCACAAAUCUCCUCUGAUUAUAGUAGAUAUAGUUCAUCCAAUCAAUAUUUUUAUUUAUUGUUGCCCACCAGAAAAUAAAUGAUUCAAAACCCUCCCGCCACUUGAUUUCUUGCUUUAAAUUCAUCAGGAACUCCUCUCGGAACUCAGAUACAAUUUAUGUAUACCCUGUUAUCAAAUGACCCUCCAGACAUAGUACGGCGAUGACGCUUCAAAUUUUCUUGGGAGAGUUUAUCUCCAAGUUUUCCAAACUGACCUGUUGGGAACAUAAGAAAGGGCACAAUUAAUUGAGUUAGUGCACAACUGCCUUUCCAGUCACGGGGGAGUUUUGGCCUUAGCUUCAUGUCUCCACACAACCACUAGAGGUCCGCUCUCAUAGUCGUCUGGUUGGAAACCAAGAGGCCGUCAGAUUCCCGUUGUCAUCGGUAACGUCGACAGUUGUUUGGCAAUAAUCUGGGGAGAUAGACUAGACAUCCUUUCCAUUACCAAGUCGCUCAAAACAAGUAUAAUUUCCUUUAUAGGCUAUCACUGAGGGUGGAAUAUCUGUUCUCUUAACUCGUGGGAACAACAAAGACAGUGUUUUACAUAUCUCUUCAGUGGGAACAAAUGUCCCCUAGAACAUCAGCAAAAUGCAUUCUAAACCACCAGGAUCAUUUUCCAUAUUUAAUUUGAAAGGAGAAGUUCCUAAUUGAGGUCUGGCAGUUGAACAUGCAAUACAAUUUGAUUGUCCAUUUUGUUGAGCAGUAUACAUCAUCCAUUCCAUCUAUUCAUUUUUGUCCACAAAACCUGUUUCUAAGGCUAUCUUUCCUUUUUUAGUUAGUUUAGUGAGGUAUUUUGCAAGUCUUUUAGCUGGAUUGGAGGUCGGGGCUACUGUUGUAGGUGUGUUUGUCGUCGAUUUUUUAUCUUUUUAGUUAUAUUUACUUAAAAAAUGCCUUGAGGAUAUCUAGUUUGGUACGCACCCAACACAUAGGUGCCACUAUCAUUAGGAUUUGGGUUCUCUAUAGUAAUUAUCACUGUUUUCCACCUUCUCCUUUUAUCAUUGAUAAUCUAAUUUUUAGAUCUGGAGAUCUUUGUGGUUUUGGAUCAUAGCCCCAAUCAUGUGUCCCUGUAUUUCAUAUAGCCCAUCUCCAUUCUUCACAAUUACAACCCCAUGUACGUUUUUUUACCCCAAACAUGUUUUUGAAGGUGGUACAUUCUGCACAAGUAUUUUUCUGACCAUGUAUAUUGGAGUUCUCUUCCUUUUGGGAUUUAAUUGCACCACAGAAGUCUAUAGAGGCAAUGCAAGGUGUGGAUCCAGAUUGACAAUGAAUCACCACAGGGGCUUUUCAUGUGUCAUGGUUCUGCCACUCUUUACCUAUCAUUCUUUUUGGUCUAGUUAGUUCAAUUUGUUAUCUCUCUCUUGGUCUAAUCCUGUCCUGAGUUCAUACCACAAUAGUGGAAUCAUUAUCAUCAUAGUUAUCAGUAUGACACAGCAGAUUGUGCCUCUGAGACCGCAGAGUCCAGGAUGUCUGAAGGGAUGCCGAGGUCUGUUUCUUUCCAUGUUUUUCCUAAAAUUUCGUUAUCGCUAUUUUAGCCUCACCCUAUGUCCUCCUUUGGCUGCUGGUUUCUUCACUGAGGUUGACUCGAGCUUUCUCCUGUUGAGAUAGCCCCCCUUUGUAUUCAGACUUUGCCUGAGGGAACUGUGAGGGUGGGGAGACCUUCUGCAUAUCCUUCAGCACUUCCUGAUCCACGAAUAUAAGCCGUUAAAUGGUGAGAGUCAAGCAUGUCCAGAGUGGAAUGUCCGUACGAGGGAGGCACAUACCUGAGGAGCAAUGGAGGUCUCAGCCAAAAAGAAGAUGACCAUGCCGACAAUGUUAUUUAUGAUGUUUAAACCUAAUAUCUGCUGGACCAGGGAGAGAAUAGUCACUCAGACUUCGUGAACUGAUGUGAAUG